ensembl:snRNA U7 U7 small nuclear RNA
GAAUCUAUUUGCUCUUUAGAUAUUUGUCUAGCAGGUUUCUCGUAAAGAGAAGCCCCA